rnacentral:lncRNA from 1 species
CCGUCCUUCCAUAGCCGUGGGGAGACGCGCUCGCGGCGGUGUGAGGCGCCGGCGUCCACACGGGUAAGAGGAACUGUGCAGUCUGCAGUACAUUGCAUCUCUUUUAGUCCCACAUCGGUAGUUGAGUGCGAUUUUCAGGGAUUUAUAACUAUAGGCUUCAGCAGGAGUGUCAUCAAGUAGGAAUACAGGGAGACAGUGGUAUGGGUGUAGGAAUACAGAUUGUCUUUUUUUUUUUGCUCCAUAAAUUCAGCCUGGUUUUUGCCGAUUGAUUGAAAAGUGGUAUUUUUCCAAUGCAAAUGUGCAUAUGAGCAAUGUACUUCAAUUAACUAUAGAAUCGACCUAAAUCAACUAUGUGGCGUGGCUGUUAUUUUCAGGAGCACUAGUUCCCAUUUUUCAGUACGGUGCUGUUGCCGCUGGUGUAGUUCCAAUAUGUUAUUUCUGGCUGCUACAUGUCAUGGUGACAUAAUUUGAUAUGCUAUUUUCAGGAGCACUAGUUCAUUUCUAGUUCCUUAUACAAGAUUCAGAAAAACCACAAUCCUGAAGUGUUCUGCGGAUAUAACUCAUAAGACGUAAAGACCUUGAAUUCACCUUUUGUUUUUUCAUAUUUUGCAUUGCCCAGUAAUGAGGAUGUUAUAGUAGAGGAAAAGAUGAACUCUCUCAACUUAAAGCAUAUUUUCAUGUUUAAAGCAUAGUGAUAAGACAUUUCUGAUAAAAAAACUGGGUCUGCAAUUGUCAUGCUUGGUGUGUAACAUACUGAAACUUCAUGUUUUUUUGUCAAUAUGGAGCACCAUAGGUAGUUAGCGCUUGUGUUUUGCUCAUGCUCCUGGUAAAUCCUUUUGGGCCAGGAUUCAGGAAGCUCCUGUGUUCGGUUAUGCUCGCUGUUAAUUUUCAUUUUUGUAUCUGCAAUCUUUCGGAGCCGUUAGUUUCUGCUCUUUUCUGUUUUGUGUUCUUGAACAGUGUAUGGCUUCAUGGCUGUCCUGCUUAGUUUGGAAAACAUACAUAUAGAUGUGCUGUGCAGAGUUAAGGUUUCUUUUUGCGGUGUAUUGCUUUCAAAAAUUAUCUGGCCAUAUAUUUUCGUGCUGUAAAAAAUCUUUAUUUCCUGUUAUGAUUGUUCCAUAGCACCAAUUUCAGUCAAAUCGGCCUCCCAGUCCUGAAGUAGAUCACGAAACUUCAUGACAGUUGCCAGUACGAGCGUGAGCCUUGCUAGUUGUCCUAAUAGCAGACUAUUUUUGUCAAAGUCCGCAUUUUACUCAUGGCUAAUUUAUAAUUAUCAUUUAAAUUCCUUCAUACCAACACGAUUUAUAGAAGCUGGGUGUGAACUCUUAUGGUUAUAUCGCCUCGAUGCCUCGAUGCGGCGUUAAUUUUUUUUUUUGGAAAUGGGGGCGUACCCCCGGCCUCUGCAUCAUAAUGAUGCAUGCAACCAUCUUAUUAAAGAGUCUCGAAGUAACACAAAGUCAUAAAAGUAUUACAGCUCGCAAGCGAAGCGAAACAAAGAAAAGAGAAGUACAUGCUCAAAAUCACGGUAAGGCAAAGUAAGGAUAAGCUCCCUAGACUCCUAUCCUGUUAUGCGACCGCCAUCCGAACCAGUUGAAUAUAGCCCAUGCUACCAUCUCCUACUGGUUGCACCCAAUAACAAAAGGCUCCCUGAAGUCCAUAGGAGUGAGCAAGGACCACGUACGGAUCCAUGCGGUAGCUCUAAAGAUGACCUGCAAGAAAGUUAAAGUGUGUUGUCUGUUAAAAAUCAUAUCAUUCCUACAAUUCCAUAUAGCCCAUAAAAGCGAACAUAUUCCAAUCCGAAUACGAGCCGUAGUAAUAUGUUCAACCCCAGCUAACCACGUUCCAAACAACGAUUCAAUGUCAAUUGGAGGAUUAAUGUUAAAGGCUGUAUGGAUCAUUCUCCAGAGCAAUUUGGCGAGUGGGCAUUCAAGGAAUAGAUGUUGUAUUGUUUCAUCAUGAUCACAAAAACAACAACGUGAACUACAUACCCAUCGCCUGUUUAUCAAGUUAUCCUUGGUGAGGAUUACUUGCUUGUGGACGAACCACAUAAAUAUUUUAAUACACAAGGGAACCUUAACCUUCCAAAUAUGCAACGAUCUCGAGAUUGGGCCAGAAUUAAUCAGAUCCAUGUAGAAAGAUUUCACCGUAAAUACCCCAUUUCUAGCUAACUUCCAGUGCGUCGAAUUAGGUUGGUCGGAUAAUUGAACAUCUAUCAAUCUCUGGACCAAGUGCAUCCAGGCAGUCCAUCUCUCACCAACUAACGCACGUUUGAACUGAAUAUUCAAGGCAGUCGUUUGAAAUACUGUGCCUACGUAAUCCUCCUUACAUUGCACAAUGUAAUAGAGGGUCGGAUAUUGUACGGCUAGGGGCGUCUCUCCUAACCACGUAUCCUCCCAAAAUCUUGUUGACAUUCCAUUGCCAACCAAGAAUUUGACCCCACGAAAGAACAAGUCCUUCGUUCUCAUGAGUCCCUUCCAGAAUGGCGAGUCAGUUGGUCUCACGGUAACCUGGGCGAGCGUUUUCGACUGUAAAUACUUAUUGCGUAGAAUCUGUGCCCACAUACGUUCCGGCUCUGUCUCUAACUUGUAGAGCCAUUUACUCAUAAGACAUUUAUUCUUAAUUUCCAAGUUCUCAAUACCGAGACCCCCCUGGUCCUUUGGUCGGCAAAGAAUAUCCCAUCGCGCGAGACGAUAUUUACUCUUGGCCUCAUCUGACUGCCAGAAGAAUCGAGAUCUAAAGAAAUCAAGUCUCUUCCGCACCCCUUUCGGUAUCUCGAAGAAUGAUAGCAGGAACAUCGGCAUACUCGUAAGUACCGAGUUAAUCAGCACUAGCCGACCUCCAUACGACAUAAGCUUGCUCUUCCAGCAACUAAGAUUUUUUUCAAUUCGAUCUUCGAUGCACUUCCAUUCUUUAUUAGAUAACUUACGGUGAUGAAUCGGUAUACCCAAAUAACUGAAUGGCAAAGAACCUAAUUCACACCCGAACAGUUGUCUAUAUGUGUCUUGCUCUUCUUUGGCCUUUCCAAAGCAGAACAACUCGCUCUUGUGAAAGUUUAUCUUUAAUCUAGACAAUUGUUCGAAGAGACAUAAUAUGAGUUUCAUAUUUCGCGCUUUUUCAAUGUCAUGUUCCAUGAAUAGGAUAGUGUCGUCAUCAUACUGUAAAAUGGAGACUCCCCCAUCGACCAGAUGAGGGACUAAACCCUCCACUUGACCAUUUUGCUUGGCCCUGCCAAUAAGAAUGGUCAACAUAUCGGCCACUAUAUUAAAUAGGAGAGGAGACAUGGAAUCCCCUUGUCUCAAUCCCUUGUGUGUCUGAAAGUAGUGACCGAUGUCAUCAUUAACCUUGAUUCCGACACUACCCUUCUGGACUUGAGAACCCACUUGGUUCCGCCAGGCCUCACUAAAUCCUUUCAUGCGCAUUGCCUGCUGAAGGAAAGACCAUUUAACUUUAUCAUUUGCCUUCUCAAAAUUCACUUUGAAGAUAACCCCAUCUAGCUUCUUUGAAUGAAUUUCAUGCAGCGUUUCAUGCAGAACGACCACCCCUUCAAGUAUGUGUCGCCCUGGCAUGAACGCUGUCUGACUCGGUUGUACCACAGAGUGAGCAAACUGUGUCAAUCUAUUGGUAACCACUUUCGUGAAUAUUUUGAAACUCACGUUAAGAAGACAUAUUGGCCUGAAUUGUUCGAUCCGAACUGCCUCUUCUUUCUUUGGCAACAGCGUAAUCAUACCAAAGUUAGGAUGAAACAACUCUAAAUGACCAUUAAAAAAUCAUGAAACAUAGGCAUAAGAUCAUCCUUAAUAAUAUGCCAACAUUUCCUAUAGAAUUCAGCUGGAAACCCAUCCGGUCCCGGUGCUUUAUUCGGUUUCAUUUGUGAGAUUGCAUCCAGAACCUCUUUCUUAGUAAACGGUGCAGAUAGAAUAUCAUUCUCCUCUGCCCGAAGCUGAGGGAUAUCUCCAAUGACAGAUUUAUUAAGGGACACUGUGCUUGCUUCCGGAGGCCCAAAUAGUUGUUUAUAAUAAUUAGAGACAUAAGCUUUCAGAUUCUCAUGCCCCACAAUUAUCCCCUCGUCCUGUUCAAGCUGUAUUAUUUUCUUCUUCCUAUGUUUACCAUUCGCGAUCAUAUGGAAGAAUUGUGUAUUGUCAUCCCCUUGGACAACCUUAAGCACUUUAGCACACAAUGCCCACUUGAGCUUCUCUUCUCUAAGAAGGGCUCGUAAGCCUUGCUCAACUUCAGACUUGGAGCUCUGCUCAUCAACCGUAAGAAGAUUAACUUCAGCUUUUAAAUCUAGCGCUUCUAUUAAUUGGAUGAGUCGCUCUUUUUCUUGUCUGUAUAUCCCACUCUCGUUUCUGGCCCAACCUCGCAAAAAUUGUCUCAGAUGUCUAAUUUUAUUUUGCCAUCUCUCAAUACUUGUUCGUCCACUAACAGGCUUUGCCCAUUCGCGUGCAAUGAUCUCCAAGAAGUUUUCUUUCUCGAACCAACCUAGUUCGAAAGAGAAAGCAUUCUUGUUUGCAAUAUGUGUAGCCUCUCCCGAGUCUACUAGUAAUGGUGUGUGGUCUGAGAUCGCCCUCUGCAUCGCAUGUACCGAAACUAAUGGGUACUUUUGUUCCCAUUCCACACUAGCAAGCACACUAUCCAACUUCUCAUAAGUUGGAGUGGGCAACGAAUUGGCCCAUGUAAAUUGUCUACCAGUGAGCUCAAUUUCUCUCAAACUAAGACUCUCAAUAAUCAUGUUAAACAUCAUAGACCAACGUCCAUCAAAAUUGUCAUUGUUCUUUUCAUCUCUCCUCCGAAUUAUGUUAAAAUCCCCUCCGACUAGGAUUGGAAGAGUCUCGUCUCCACAGAUCCGCACCAAGUGGGCUAAAAAAUCUGGUUUGAGGUCGGGUUGUGCUGUCCCAUAUACAGCAACUAGAGACCAUUGGAAGCCAUCCAAUUUCGAUCUCACCCAAAACUUGACCGCAAAAUCCCCCCGAACCACGGUAAGUACCUCAAGCGUUUCGCACCGAACCCCUAGUAAUAUCCCACCAGAUCUUCCUCUAGGAGGUAAAACGUGCCAAUCAAAAUCAAUUCCUCUGGAUAAAGUUCCAAAGAACUGUGAGAUGAAAUUAUCCCGUCCUGUUUCGAGUAGAGCAAUAAAAUCUAUUUUUUGCUCUAUCGUUGUCUCUGCCAAGAACCUUCGUUUAGCCAAGUCAGCUAGACCUCUGCUAUUCCAACAGAUUCCUUUCAUAAGUCAUCAUGAAAUUUUUUCUUAAGUUUAACCCUAGCACUUCUACAAACCGCCGAAGUAGGAUAGAUUUUCUGUUUCCAGGGUCUCUUGGGCUUCUCCCCAUAGCCCUUCGGGAACAUAGGAUCGACAGAACACGAGACAGUGCCCUCCAUCAUUAGAGGCUCUACAGUGUCUGCAGUCUCCGACCCCUCCUCAUCUUCAGCCUCCGCAUUCGGCAAUAGAUUAUUACAUAUGUUUUCAAGAGCAGCCAUUCCUAAAUUUUUCAAGAGCAGCCAUUCCUAAAUUCGGCAAGAGAUGCGGCGUUAAUAGUCAAUACAAAUUCUCUUUAUUGAAAAAUACCAACUCGAUUUAUACAAACUCGAUGGUACUCCCUCUGUAAACUAAUAUAAGACCUUUUAGAUCACUAGGAGGAGUACAUUGCAAAUCACGUGAGACAAGUUAUACAAAGUUCAGUGUCAAUUGCCAAAUCACUAUAGCGUGGCUUAACUUGCUCUGGCUUGUUUGCUCCAACAUAUAUAUGAUGUUCUGGCUGCCUGCAAUUUCAUGGCUACUUUUCUCAUGUUCAUUCGCUCUCUUGGGAACAGACGGGUACAAGACAGAGCUACUUGCACAAGGGACACCAAGCACUGAUAUACCACAUUUCCUGCUUCCGCUGUUGCACGAAUGAAUCCCUUGCACUCUUCUUGCAGACGAUCAUCGAUGAUAUGCAGUAUCUGAUCUGGAGAGUUCCUCUCCACGAAAUUGACAAUGUUGAGUUCGUUGUCAAACAUAGGGUCUGUUGGUCUUUUACCCUAUCAGCAUCUCUAGAAGAACUACUCCAAAACUGUAAACGUCCCAAAAAGUUGAUGCUUGGCCAGUUUGAGCAUACUCUGGAAACAUACGAAAUGAUACUGAUUAGUGCCAUAUAAAUCUAAGUUCAGACAUUGAGUCUUACACAAAUAUAUGAUGUGGAGAUGAGUACCUGGAGCAAUAUAUCCUAUAGUUCCUUUCAAUCCAAUUGAGCCAUCUGAAGUUGAGGCUGAACUUGAAUGCCCAACUGAUGUUGACUUUGAAUUACGGACGAGGUUUGCAAUGCCGAAGUCACCCAAAUAUGCAUUCAUAUCAGUGUCCAGGAGGAUAUUGCUGGGUUUCAGAUCGCAAUGGACAAUGGAUCUUGUUAUAUCAUGGUGUAAGUAGGCCAAUGCAUCAGCGAUAUUAAUAGCGAUGCUUAUUCUUUGCCCUAAGCUCAAAAUCCUUGGACCUUCACCAGCAGAUUUUGUGUGUAACCAUGUGUCCAAAUUCCCGUUUGGCAUGAACUCAUAAAUUAGAGCUUUGAAAGCGUUACCAUCAUUAUCUAUUGUUGAACAUGCUGUUGGGAUAGAAACAAGAUUUCGAUGUCGAAUACUUCUCAAAACCUCACAUUCUGAUAUGAAACUUUUGUCUGCGUAUCUCACAUCGAGGUCAAAAACUUUAAUAGCCACUUGUAUUUUUGCUUGAGUUAACUUUCCUCUAUAUACUGAACCGUAGCUUCCUCUGCCAACCAGGUUAGACUCAGAAAAGCUCUGUGUAGCUUGAGCUAUAUCCCUGUAGGAUAGUCUAGGAAAAUGAUUGCCAGAAUAAAGCAACAAUAAGGAUGCUCUUCUUGGUGUCUUGGCCCCCAGGCGUGCAAAGUAAAUUAACAAUACGAGUGAUAUGAAGCUAACCACAGGGAUAAGUACUCUGACCAAGUAGUACAGUCUUCCUUUUUUCUGAGAAAUAGCAGAGCAAGUGGGCAUACGAAGAUCCACUGCUCCACCACAAAGCUCCCAAUUCCCAUCGAGAGAAACAGGCGUGACAUUUUCAAAUACCCCAUUUCUUGGUAUUUCUCCAUGAAUAUGGUUGUAAAACAGGUGUAGAUAGUUCAGAAAUUUUAAGGUAUUGGACCUUCAAAUUCAUUGUUUGCUAGAUAGAGCUUCUUCAGUCUUGCAAGAUUACUGAUAGAGGUUGGUAUUGGGCCAGUGAAGUUAUUCCCGUCAAGAGCUAAAACCGUUAGAUUCCUCAGAUUUCGAACCCAUCCUUCAAUGGAUCCGUGGAGCUUGUUUUCACGUAAAGCCAGUGUUGUUAAGCCGCUAAGAUUACCUAUGUUAGUGGGUAUUGUCCCUGACAAGUCGUUUGCAUCUAAUCCUAGUCCUUGAAGUUUGCUUGACAGGUUACCAAUAGAACUUGGGAUAGCUCCUUUUAACUGAUUUUUACCUAGUGCAAGAACUUGCAGAGAUCUGCAAUUGCUCAACGUAUCUAUGAAUUCCCAGCUUUGAAUAUCCUUUGCUUCAAGUUUAUUAUUCUGAAGGUUUAGAUUGUUCAACAUUCCAAGCCUACCAAGAGAACUUGGAACUUGACCUGUCAAUUUGUUAUAUGAUAGGUCCAACACUGAUAGCCCUGAAGUAUUACCCAGAGAAGCUGGGAUAUAACCUUCAAACAUGUUAUAGUCCAAGUAGAGCAAUGUGAGACUUGGGGGGGUAUCACCAAAAUCAGACGGCAAUGUGCUCCCUAUCAUAUUGGUACUUAAGUCUAAAAUUUGUAGAUAAGACUGGUUAAGCACGGUUGUUGGGAUUCUACCUGAUAGCAUAUUACCACCGAGUACCAAACCCAUCAUACUUGGAAAUUGUCCUAUCUCAUGGGGAAUGCUACCCAUGAGUUGAUUAUCUGCAAGAUCGAUUGCUUCUAACUGGCUGAUGUUUUUCAGGCUUGGUGGGAUCGUUCCGGUGAUAUUAUUUUCUGAAAGCUGUAACCACAACAGGUUGGAGAGCAAGCCUAUACUGAGUGGAAUUUCACCUGUCAGGAAGUUACCGUAUAGGUCUAAGUAACUUAGGUUGGAACAAUUUGUAAGUGUAGCUGGAAUGAUCCCUUGCAAAGAGUUUUUACUCAGCAAAAGUUGUUGCAGUCUGUGGAGACGUCCAAGAGGAGGCAGCUCGCCGGUGAAGCUAUUUGUGGACAGGUCCAGUGUCUCAAGGAACGUCAGGUUCCCAAGGGACGGGGAAAUCGAACCUGACAACCCUUGCUCGGUGAGGUUUAGCACAGUAACUCGCCCUGGGUGCGUGAGGCUGCAGUUGACGCCCUUCCACUCGCAAUGGGGGAUGCUGGCGUUCCAAGAGCCCAAGGCUUGCCUUGGAUCAUUGGUGAUGUCCCGCUUGAAAUCUAGCAGCGAGAGCAUGUCCGUGCUGUUACCGGAGACUGUCGAGCAGUGGGCAGUGCCAACUCCAUCAGAAAUGAGCAGCAAGGCCAGUAGCAGGAUCAUGGCGCGUCUCGCCGGUCGAUUGGGAGACACGAGGCCCUCGUUACCUGCAAAGCAUGAAGAAAUGAGCACCGUGGGUAGUAUGUUCACCUAUGAAGCUGGACAGCGUGACCUUGCUCUGGUUAACGAUCAUAUGUUUGUUGGUAAGCACUCCAGUUAAUAGUAGUGCACAGAGGCUAAAUUCUGUGAGUAGGGAACCUUGCUCGGCAGCAAGACAGAAGCUAACACGGAUGUUAAGCAGAAGCAGUAAAGUACAGUACUAAUCAGGAGGAGGGAGUAGGGAGAACCUUUGCUCGUCCGGAUCGCACAGAAGGGCGGCCUUUCUUGGUGCAUGGUUUCGCCGGGUUUUGCUGUGGUAUGUGAGCUGGGAAGUGUGAGAUUGGAUGCUGGAUGCGCAGCUGGCUGAGGCCCCAUGGGUUAGAGAGCACUUCCACGGUGUCAUCACGUACACACACUUGCACCUGGUCUGAAACCCUCACGCCUUAUCUCAAGCUUGACCGCAGAUGGAGCGAAGACCUUGAGUCCGUCAACUCUGUCAGCUAGUUGCCGUUCCAGUUUUUAUCUUCAUAGCCCACCGCUGCCGUCGCUGCGUGAGCUGGACAGGAUCGUUGCGGCAUGCCCAGCCCCGAAUCCCAGAGUUCUACUCGAUACUUUUCAGCAGGAACUGGAUAGAGAGUGAUCUUCGCGUCGGUCAGUGUACGACCUGACAUGGAACGGUUCACUGGUCUAACAUUCUCUUCUUUGAUACCGUGUUUUUUUCUCCUAUGGCCCUGCGGGCAUGCAUGCCUCAUUUUUUUGUGUUUAUUCGAUAAGAGUAUACGUUGUGCUUUCUUUCAGCUACAACGAAUGGCCUGACUGUACAUCGUAGGAGUAGUCAAAUCACAAGUUCAACAAUGAUGCCUGGACAAUUGAGUCGUCUUUAUUUCUCAUGGUUGAGUUUGGUUUGGUGAAAAUGCUUUUACUGAAAUGAUGCACUAGAGUCAUGCAUGUCUACUGCUCUGACCAAAUGUUCUUUUUCUUUUCUUAAUUAAACAGCUCUGCAACAAGCACGCAAAGCUCCCAUGUUUCCACACAAGCAUGAAGCCUCUUAACACAUGAUGUCAUGAUGUAUACUUCCAAUUCUGAUUCCAGGUAUCUUUGCCCCACUUGCCCUAUACGCUUUUAUGUCUUGGGAUUAAGGCCCGUUACUUCAAUGGUGCAUUUGAGAUAUACUAUGUGUAAGUACUCUGCAGAUGGCAAAGGCGCGGGCGAGGCGAGGGAAGCGGGAAGCAGCCAAGGCGAAGGCGUAAGGUGUAGCGGGAAGUUCAAAUAUGUAACGGGCCUGAUGGUCUCAGCGGUAGUGGGCCAGAGAGCCGUAGCAAGUAGGCCUAUGUGUCCUGCGGGUUAUAAGCAGGUGGGCGAGGGAGAGAACGGUACGAAGAGAUUUCUGUAAUUCAAACUGUACCACUUCUAUCUUAUCCUCCUGCUUACGUCUCCUACCUCG